rnacentral:rRNA from 1 species
ACGCUCGACACCUACGGGAAGCAGCAGUAGGGAAUCUUCCACAAUGGACGCAAGUCUGAUGGAGCAACGCCGCGUGAGUGAAGAAGGUCUUCGGAUCGUAAAACUCUGUUGUUAGAGAAGAACACGAGUGAGAGUAACUGUUCAUUCGAUGACGGUAUCUAACCAGCAAGUCACGGCUAACUACGUGCAAGCAGCCGCGGUAAUCUGAGCGGGCUGCAAGGC